CUGGUUAUUGAGCCCGCGCACCAGAUCUUCUAGGGGAGCCCCAGUAAGGAAAUAUUGGUCAAUGAGGCACUCUGACCCAGCAUGCCGCGUGCAGGAUGACUGCCUAUGGUGUAAACUGCUUUGUACGGAUACCCUAUUAUGUAUAGUAGCUGAAUGUACGUAGAUACGAUCGCUACUCGUGCCAGCAGCGCGGUAAUACGAGGAUCCAGCGUAUCCGGAUUUAUUGGGUUUAAAGGGUGCGUAGGUGGCUUUUUAAGUCAGGGGUGAAAUACGGCAGCUCACUGUCGCAGUGCCUUUGAUACUGAAGAGCUUGAAUAACGUUGAAGAUGGCGGAAUGAGACAAGUAGCGGUGAAAUGCAUAGAUAUGUCUCAGAACACCGAUUGCGAAGGCAGCUGUCUAAGCGUUUAUUGACACUGAUGCACGAAAGCGUGGGGAUCAAACAGGAUUAGAUACCAGGGUAGUCACGCCCUAAACGAUGAUAACUCGAUGUUUGCGAUAUACAGUAAGCGUCUUAGCGAAAGCGUUAAGUUAUCCACCUGGGGAGUACGCCCGCAAGGGUGAAACUCAAAGGAAUUGACGGGGGCCCGCACAAGCGGAGGAGCAUGUGGUUUAAUUCGAUGAUACGCGAGGAACCUUACCCGGGCUUGAAAGUUACUGAAUGAUUUAGAGAUAGAUCAGUCCUUCGGGACAGGAAACUAGGUGCUGCAUGGCUGUCGUCAGCUCGUGCCGUGAGGUGUUGGGUUAAGUCCCGCAACGAGCGCAACCCCUAUGUUUAGUUGCCAGCACGUUAAGGUGGGGACUCUAAACAGACUGCCCGUGCAAACGGAGAGGAAGGUGGGGACGACGUCAAGUCAUCAUGGCCCUUACGUCCGGGGCUACACACGUGCUACAAUGGCCGAUACAGCGGGCAGCUACCUGGCAACAGGAUGCGAAUCUCGAAAAGUCGGUCACAGUUCGGAUCGGGGUCUGCAACUCGACCCCGUGAAGUUGGAUUCGCUAGUAAUCGCGUAUCAGCAAUGACGCGGUGAAUACGUUCCCGGGCCUUGUACACACCGCCCGUCAAGCCAUGAAAGUUGGGGGUGCCUAAAGCAUGUAACCGCAAGGAGCGUGUAGGCAAAUCCGAAGUUA
rnacentral:rRNA from 1 species